rnacentral:rRNA from 1 species
GACGUAGGGCGCGAGCGUUGUCCGGAUUAUUGGGCGUAAAGAGCUCGUAGGCGGCUUGUCGCGUCGUCCGUGAAAACCUGGGGCUCAACCCCAGGCUUGCGGUCGAUACGGGCAGGCUCGAGUUCGGUAGGGGAGACUGGAAUUCCUGGUGUAGCGGUGAAAUGCGCAGAUAUCAGGAGGAACACCGGUGGCGAAGGCGGGUCUCUGGGCCGAUACUGACGCUGAGGCGCGAAAGCGUGGGGAGCAAACAGG